rnacentral:tRNA from 1 species
GGCCGGUUGGUCAAGCGGUUAAGACGCCGCCCUCUCACGGCGGAAACAAGGGUUCGAUUCCCUUACCGGCUA